GUGCUUGCUUUGGCAGCAUGUAUACUAAAACUGGAAUAAUACAGAGAUUAGCAUGGCUCCUUUGACAAGUAAAUUCGUGAAGUGUUUCAUAUUUAA
rnacentral:snRNA from 1 species